CCCCAGGCGGGCCCUGCACCCCCCAGGAGGGCCCGGCUCAGCGGGCGGGGCUCCCCGAGAGGCCGCGGUUGCCUGCGGGGCUCCCGAGGGUCUUCCCCGCGGCGCAUCCCCUCCCGCGGCAGCUGAAAGGUGGACUGCUGUCUUCUGAGGACAUUGUGUAUGAUUUCUUUCCCCUCUUUUAAGUCUACGAAAAAUUCAAAUGAAGUUUGUUUUACCAUCUUUGAAUUGGAAUUCAAAUAUACAUUUCAGGGAUCCCUGGGUGGUGCAGCGGUUUAGCGCCUACCUUUGGCCCAGCGUGCGAUCCUGGAGACCCGGGAUCAAAUCCCACAUCGGUGCAUGGAGCCUGCUUCUCCCUCUGCCUGUG